GAAGUGAAGGUAAAUGUCAACAUGCUUAAAUGCCUUUGUCUGCUGUAAUAAAACCUACCCUCUACCUCAGAAGCUCUCUAAUGAAAUGUACAUUUAUGUAUCUGCGUUACAGGUUAUUCACAAGUGUCUCCAGUUUGGUUUGGGGGUCUACGCUUUCUCAUCCUGUCCUGCCACCCAAGUGAAGUUAUUCACAAGUGGCUCCAGUCUGGUUUGGGGGUCUACGCUUUCUCAUCCUGUCCUGAGUGAUUCUUGACAUUGAAAUUAUAUCAAAAUUUGUCAAUAAAUGUUCAUACUUUUGUCAUUAA